rnacentral:rRNA from 1 species
AGAGUAUGGCAGAGGGAGGUGGAAUUCCACGUGUAGCAGUGAAAUGCGUAGAGAUGUGGAGGAACACCGAUGGCGAAGGCAGCCUCCUGGGCCAAUACUGACGCUGAGGCACGAAAGCGUGGGGAGCAAACAGGAUUAGAUACCCUGGUAGUCCACGCCCUAAACGAUGUCAACUAGUUGUUGGGGAUUGCUAUCCUUAGUAACGAAGCUAACGCAUGAAGUUGACCGCCUGGGGAGUACGGUCGCAAGAUUAAAACUUAAAGGAAUUGACGGGGACCCGCACAAGCGGUGGAUGAUGUGGAUUAAUUCGAUGCAACGCGAAAAACCUUACCUACCCUUGACAUGGUCGGAAGUCUGAAGAGAUUUGGGCGUGCUCGCAAGAGAACCGGCGCACAGGUGCUGCAUGGCUAUCGUCAGCUCGUGUCGUGAGAUGUUGGGUUAAGUCCCGCAACGAGCGCAACCCUUAUCCUUAGUUGCUACGCAAGGGCACUCUAAGGAGACUGCCAGUGACAAACUGGAGGAAGGUGGGGAUGACGUUAAGUCCUCAUGGCCCUUACGGGUAGGGCUUCACACGUCAUACAAUGGUCUGUACAGAGGGUGCCAACCCGCGAGGGGGAGCCAAUCCUGAAAAACGGAUCGUAGUCCGGAUUGCAGUCUGCAACUCGACUGCAUGAAGCUGGAAUCGCUAGUAAUCGCGGAUCAGCAUGCCGCGGUGAAUACG